rnacentral:tRNA from 1 species
CCCAUGGUGUAAUGGGCAGCACUCAGGCUCUGAACCCUGCAAUUUGAGUUCAAAUCUCAGUGGAGCCU